rnacentral:rRNA from 1 species
AACGAACGCUGGCGGCAGGCCUAACACAUGCAAGUCGAGCGCCCCGCAAGGGGAGCGGCGGACGGGUGAGUAACGCGUGGGAACGUACCCUUUGCUACGGAAUAGCCUCGGGAAACUGGGAGUAAUACCGUAUGUGCCCUUCGGGGGAAAGAUUUAUCGGCAAAGGAUCGGCCCGCGUUGGAUUAGGUAGUUGGUGGGGUAAUGGCCUACCAAGCCGACGAUCCAUAGCUGGUUUGAGAGGAUGGAUCAGCCACACUGGGACUGAGACACGGCCCAGACUCCUACGGGAGGCAGCAGUGGGGAAUCUUAGACAAUGGGCGCAAGCCUGAUCUAGCCAUGCCGCGUGAGCGAUGAAGGCCUUAGGGUUGUAAAGCUCUUUCAGUGGGGAAGAUAAUGAACUGUACCCACAGAAGAAGCCCCGGCUAACUCCGUG